rnacentral:rRNA from 1 species
GACGAACGCUGGCGGCGUGCUUAACACAUGCAAGUCGAGCGGUAAGGCCCUUUCGGGGUACACGAGCGGCGAACGGGUGAGUAACACGUGGGUGACCUGCCCUUAGCUCUGGGAUAAGCCUGGGAAACUGGGUCUAAUACCGGAUAUGACUCCAUAACGCAUGUUGUGGGGUGGAAAGCCUUGUGCGGCUAGGGGAUGGGCCCGCGGCCUAUCAGCUUGUUGGUGGGUGAUGGCCACCAAGGCGACGACGGGUAGCCGGCCUGAGAGGGCGACCGGCCACACUGGGACUGAGACACGGCCCAGACUCCUACGGGAGGCAGCAGUGGGGAAUCUUGCGCAAUGGGCGAAAGCCUGACGCAGCGACGCCGCGUGGGGA